UACGAAGGGGGCUAGCGUUGUUCGGAAUUACUGGGCGUAAAGGGCGCGUAGGCGGUGAUCUUUGUCAGAGGUGAAAGCCCGGGGCUCAACUCCGGAAUUGCCUUUGAAACGGGAUUGCUUGAGUCCGAGAGAGGAUGGCGGAAUUCCUAGUGUAGAGGUGAAAUUCGUAGAUAUUAGGAAGAACACCGGUGGCGAAGGCGGCCAUCUGGCUCGGUACUGACGCUGAUGCGCGAAAGCGUGGGGAGCAAACAGGG
rnacentral:rRNA from 1 species